rnacentral:rRNA from 1 species
GGGCCCGCACAAGCGGUGGAGCAUGUGGUUUAAUUCGAUGAUACGCGAGGAACCUUACCAGGGCUUAAAUGUAAGUUGCAUUAGUUAGAGAUAGCUAUUUCUUCGGACCACUUACAAGGUGCUGCAUGGUUGUCGUCAGCUCGUGCCGUGAGGUGUCAGGUUAAGUCCUAUAACGAGCGCAACCCCUGUUGUUAGUUGCCAGCGAGUCAUGUCGGGAACUCUAACAAGACUGCCGGUGCAAACCGUGAGGAAGGUGGGGAUGACGUCAAAUCAUCACGGCCCUUACGUCCUGGCUACACACGUGCUACAAUGGUCGGUACAGAGAGCAGCCACUACGCGAGUAGGAGCG